UUCCAAUCACUUUGUACACUUGGGACCUGACAAGUGUGCAUCUGAAAGCAAAUUUUUCCAAGGCUGUUCUGACUCUCGUUGCUUCUCUAUUCUGCUCCAAGAUAUCCAGAUUCUAGGGUUCCACCCCAGCCAGUCUAAGUCUCCUUACGUCACUCUGGUAGCAGAAGGAGUCCUCUGAUUUUUACAUAGCCCAUCUGCUGCCUUGAGCCAAAGGCCUAUGCUGACUGAGUCCUUCAGUGUCAGGACUCUGGGAGUGAGAGAACAGGAGUGAGGAGCAACUGGAGCCAUUAAUUUGGAGGAGAAGCAAAUGAAGGAGCAUCCAUGGAAAGAUUCACCCACAAGGGUCAAGUAUGGGAAGAUGAUCUUCUAAAGGAGAUCAGACUUGAGGAAAGAAAAACAGCCAGGCCAACCCUUAACCCAGGAAGCAAGUGCCACUCUCAGGACAAAGGAGAAAAGCAAUGGUGGCAGGCGCAGUAGCUGUCAAAGCUUCCAUCUGGAAGUGACAUAUGUCACUUCUUAUUGCUCCAAUGGACAAAACAAGUCACAUGGCCAGGCUGCUGUGCAGGUGCUACUGAGAAGUGAUGCUUUGUUCCUGAAUGAAUAGAUCGGGCAUAUCUAAGCACUUCUUUAACCAAACUUCUUUCGGAGCUCAGGUAGAUGUCAUUCUCUUACAGCAGGAACAUGAGCUGUUAAGUUUCAUGGCAUCCAGCACAAGAGUAUCAAAGACACAGGCUAAGAGAUGUGAAGAGUUCCUCUAGAGCCCCAACACGGUUAAUCACGAGAAAAUAUGUUGAGGCUGGUAGGUUGCCCUCUGCCCUGGACAGAGGUACUGGCAGGCUCUUUGAGAACUUUGUAUGUGUACAUGUAUUUUUUUGCAGGGCACAGCCUGCUGAUAGUAUUAUGAAACCAAGUGGCCAUUAGUACAUAACUCAGCACCUUUCAACUUCUUCUCUGUGGGCAGUCAGUCCUAAAGCCUGUCGCAAGUAAUUCAUUACCAGUGACAAAGUAACAAAGUAUUUGACCAAUUGGCAUUUUUAAAUAAAUGUGAAGAAAUUUAAGGA